AGGGCUGUAGCUUGGUGGCAGAGGGUUUGCUUUGGAUGCAGAAGUUCCAGGUUCAAUUCCCAGCAUCUCUA